rnacentral:tRNA from 1 species
GCAUUGGUGGUUCGGUGGUAGACUUCUUGCCUUCGGCACGGGAGACCCAGGUUCUAUACCUGGCCAAUGUA